UUUAAUUAAGAGUUUGAUCCUGGCUCAGGACGAACGCUGGCGGCACGCUUAACACAUGCAAGUCGAACGAGAGAAGAGAAGCUUGCUUUUCUGAUCUAGUGGCGGACGGGUGAGUAACACGUGAGCAAUCUGCCUUUCAGAGGGGGAUACCGAUUGGAAACGAUCGUUAAUACCGCAUAACAUAAUUGAACCGCAUGAUUUGAUUAUCAAAGAUUUAUCGCUGAAAGAUGAGCUCGCGUCUGAUUAGCUAGUUGGUAAGGUAACGGCUUACCAAGGCGACGAUCAGUAGCCGGACUGAGAGGUUGAUCGGCCACAUUGGGACUGAGACACGGCCCAGACUCCUACGGGAGGCAGCAGUGGGGAAUAUUGCACAAUGGAGGAAACUCUGAUGCAGCGAUGCCGCGUGAGGGAAGAAGGUUUUAGGAUUGUAAACCUCUGUCUUCAGGGACGAAAAAAGACGGUACCUGAGGAGGAAGCUCCGGCUAACUACGUGCCAGCAGCCGCGGUAAUACGUAGGGAGCGAGCGUUGUCCGGAAUUACUGGGUGUAAAGGGAGCGUAGGCGGGAUCGCAAGUCAGAUGUGAAAACUAUGGGCUUAACCCAUAAACUGCAUUUGAAACUGUGGUUCUUGAGUGAAGUAGAGGUAAGCGGAAUUCCUAGUGUAGCGGUGAAAUGCGUAGAUAUUAGGAGGAACAUCAGUGGCGAAGGCGGCUUACUGGGCUUUAACUGACGCUGAGGCUCGAAAGCGUGGGGAGCAAACAGGAUUAGAUACCCUGGUAGUCCACGCCGUAAACGAUGAUUACUAGGUGUGGGGGGACUGACCCCUUCCGUGCCGCAGCAAACGCAAUAAGUAAUCCACCUGGGGAGUACGACCGCAAGGUUGAAACUCAAAGGAAUUGACGGGGGCCCGCACAAGCAGUGGAGUAUGUGGAUUAAUUCGAAGCAACGCGAAGAACCUUACCAGGUCUUGACAUCGUAUGCAUAGCUCAGAGAUGAGUGAAAUCUCUUCGGAGACAUAUAGACAGGUGGUGCAUGGUUGUCGUCAGCUCGUGUCGUGAGAUGUUGGGUUAAGUCCCGCAACGAGCGCAACCCUUACUGUUAGUUGCUACGCAAGAGCACUCUAGCAGGACUGCCGUUGACAAAACGGAGGAAGGUGGGGAUGACGUCAAAUCAUCAUGCCCCUUAUGACCUGGGCCUCACACGUACUACAAUGGCUGUUAACAGAGGGAUGCAAAGCCGCGAGGUGGAGCGAACCCCUAAAAGCAGUCUUAGUUCGGAUUGUAGGCUGCAACCCGCCUACAUGAAGUCGGAAUUGCUAGUAAUCGCAGAUCAGCAUGCUGCGGUGAAUACGUUCCCGGGCCUUGUACACACCGCCCGUCACGCCAUGGGAGUCGGUAACACCCGAAGCCUGUAGUCUAACCGCAAGGAGGACGCAGUCGAAGGUGGGAUUGAUGACUGGGGUGAAGUCGUAACAAGGUAGCCGUAUCGGAAGGUGCGGCUGGAUCACCUCCUUUCUA
rnacentral:rRNA from 1 species